rnacentral:tRNA from 1 species
GGAAGAGUGGCCGAGCGGUUGAAGGCGACAGUCUUGAAAACUGUUGAACCUGAAAGGGUUCCGAGAGUUCGAAUCUCUCCUCUUCCU